GACGUAGGGCGCAAGCGUUGUCCGGAUUUAUUGGGCGUAAAGAGCUUGUAGGCGGUUUGUCGCGUCUGCUGUGAAAAUCCGGGGCUCAACCCCGGACUUGCAGUGGGUACGGGCAGACUAGAGUGUGGUAGGGGAGACUGGAAUUCCUGGUGUAGCGGUGAAAUGCGCAGAUAUCAGGAGGAACACCGAUGGCGAAGGCAGGUCUCUGGGCCACUACUGACGCUGAGAAGCGAAAGCAUGGGGAGCGAACAGG
rnacentral:rRNA from 1 species